GUAGCUUGCUACCUGCCGGCGAGUGGCGAACGGGUGAGUAAUACAUCGGAACGUGCCCUGUAGUGGGGGAUAACUAGUCGAAAGACUAGCUAAUACCGCAUACGACCUGAGGGUGAAAGUGGGGGACCGCAAGGCCUCAUGCUAUAGGAGCGGCCGAUGUCUGAUUAGCUAGUUGGUGGGGUAAAGGCCCACCAAGGCGACGAUCAGUAGCUGGUCUGAGAGGACGAUCAGCCACACUGGGACUGAGACACGGCCCAGACUCCUACGGGAGGCAGCAGUGGG
rnacentral:rRNA from 1 species